CCUACGGGUGGCUGCAGUAGGGAAUAUUGCUCAAUGGGGGAAACCCUGAAGCAGCAACGCCGCGUGCAGGAUGAAGGUUUUCGGAUUGUAAACUCCUUUUGUUAGAGAAGAUAAUGACGGUAUCUAACGAAUAAGCACCUGCUAACUCCGUGCCAGCAGCCGCGGUAAUACGGAGGGUGCAAGCGUUACUCGGAAUCACUGGGCGUAAAGAGGGCGGAGGCGGGUUAGUAAGUCAGAUGUGAAAUCCUAUGGCUUAACCAUAGUACUGGAUUUGAAACUGUUAUUCUAGAGUAUGGGAGAGGUAGGUGGAAUUCGUGGUGUAGCGGUGAAAUGCGUAGAGAUAAGGAAGAAUACUAAUUGCGAAGGCAGCCUGCUAGAACAUAACUGACGCUGAUGCACGAAAGCGUGGGGAGCAAACAGGAUUAGAGACCCGGGUAGUC
rnacentral:rRNA from 1 species